AUACUUACCUGGCUGGGGAAAUACCAUGAUCUUAAAUAUCUUAAAUUGGUUUUCCAGAGUGAUGCUCAUCCAUUCGACUGGAGAUAUGCUGAAUUCUGUGAUUUCCCCAAAUUCAGGCAAUUCAACUGUAUUAUUUGUAAUAAUGGGGCACUAUGUUAAAGCUCUUCCCUG
ensembl:snRNA Gm22656 U1 spliceosomal RNA